rnacentral:lncRNA from 1 species
GGUAGAAGGCGCGCCCUUGGAGAAGGGUGUCAGCACAGAGACUGCUGCCUUAUGCUCUUGGCUGAACGAAGGCUUGGUGUAGAUGGCGUUUCCCGCUAACUUCUCAGGCCCCUGCUGUGUGUGAGGCUGUUCCAGCUCCCUUGGGGCUGGACUCCCGAGCCUUUUUUCUUCGGCAGCGUUCUCCACAGAUGCCUGGGCACCCUGUUCCCUCCUGAUGCUCUGCCUUCCCACCUCUUUGAAGUGCCUUUUCU